GGGUGGGUAAGCUUAGUGAUGAGAGCUUGAGGCUUGUGACCGGGAAGUCCCGGGUUCGAAUCUCGUCAGAAGCA
rnacentral:tRNA from 1 species